rnacentral:rRNA from 1 species
UCCUACGGGGGGCAGCAGUGGGGAAUAUUGCACAAUGGGGGAAACCCUGAUGCAGCGACGCCGCGUGAGUGAGGAAGUAUUUCGGUAUGUAAAGCUCUAUCAGCAGGGAAGAAAAUGACGGUACCUGACUAAGAAGCCCCGGCUAACUACGUGCCAGCAGCCGCGGUAAUACGUAGGGGGCAAGUGUUAUCCGGAUUUACUGGGUGUAAAGGGAGCGUAGACGGAAUUGCAAGUCUGAAGUGAAAGGCAGGGGCUUAACCCCUGAACUGCUUUGGAAACUGCCAUGCUAGAGUGCUGGCGAGGUA